AUUGAACGCUGGCGGCAUGCUUUACACAUGCAAGUCGAACGGUAACAGGCCGCAAGGUGCUGACGAGUGGCGAACGGGUGAGUAAUGCAUCGGAACGUGCCCAGUCGUGGGGGAUGACGCAGCGAAAGCUGUGCUAAUACCGCAUACGAUCUACGGAUGAAAGCGGGGGACCGUAAGGCCUCGCGCGAUUGGAGCGGCCGAUGUCAGAUUAGGUAGUUGGUGGGGUAAAGGCCUACCAAGCCGACGAUCUGUAGCGGGUCUGAGAGGACGACCAGCCACACUGGGACGGAGGCACGGCGCAGACGACUACGGGAUGCAGCAGGGGGGAGUCUUGGACAAUGGGCGGAAGCCUGAUCCAGCAAUGCCGCGUGCAGGAAGAAGGCUUUCGGGUUGUAAACUGCUUUUGUACGGAACGAAACGGUCUGGGUUAAUACCCUGGGCUAAUGACGGUACCGUAAGAAUAAGCACCGGCUAACUACGUGCCAGCAGCCGCAGUAA
rnacentral:rRNA from 1 species